UACGAAGGGGGCUAGCGUUGUUCGGAUUUACUGGGCGUAAAGCGCACGUAGGCGGAUCGUUAAGUGAGGGGUGAAAUCCCAGGGCUCAACCCUGGAACUGCCUUUCAUACUGGCGAUCUCGAGUCCGGAAGAGGUGAGUGGAACUCCUAGUGUAGAGGUGGAAUUCGUAGAUAUCAAGAGGAACACCUGAGGUGAAGACGGGUUGCUGGGCUGACACUGACGCUGAGGCGCGAAAGCCAGGGGAGCAAACGGG
rnacentral:rRNA from 1 species